AAUAGAUACCCUGGUAGUCCACGCCCUAAACGAUGUCAACUAGCUGUUGGGGCCUUCGGGCCUUGGUAGCGCAGCUAACGCGUGAAGUUGACCGCCUGGGGAGUACGGUCGCAAGAUUAAAACUCAAAGGAAUUGACGGGGACCCGCACAAGCGGUGGAUGAUGUGGAUUAAUUCGAUGCAACGCGAAAAACCUUACCUACCCUUGACAUGUCUGGAAUGCCGAAGAGAUUUGGCAGUGCUCGCAAGAGAACCGGAACACAGGUGCUGCAUGGCUGUCGUCAGCUCGUGUCGUGAGAUGUUGGGUUAAGUCCCGCAACGAGCGCAACCCUUGUCAUUAGUUGCUACGAAAGGGCACUCUAAUGAGACUGCCGGUGACAAACCGGAGGAAGGUGGGGAUGACGUCAAGUCCUCAUGGCCCUUAUGGGUAGGGCUUCACACGUCAUACAAUGGUCGGGACAGAGGGUCGCCAACCCGCGAGGGGGAGCCAAUCCCGAGAAACCCCGGAUCGUAGUCCGGAUCGCAGUCUGCAACUCGA
rnacentral:rRNA from 1 species